UCGAACGGUAGCACAGAGGACCUUGUUCCUUGUGUGGCGAGUGGCACACGGGUGAGGAGUCCGGGAGACUCCCCUUUGUCGGGGGGGAUAACGUGGGGAAACUUACGCUUAUCCCGCAAACUACCUACAGGUGAAAGGGGGGGACCUUCGGGCCUUGCGCGAUUGAAUGAGCCGAUGUCAUUAUUAUCUAGUUUCGGGGUAAAGGCCCACCAGCGACACUAUCCGUAUCUGGUCUGAGGGGAUGAUCACCCACUCUGGAACUGACACACUGUCCACACUCCUACGGGAGGCAGCUGUGGGGAAUAUUGGACAAUGGGCGCAAGCCUGAUCCACCCAUACCGCGUG
rnacentral:rRNA from 1 species